GACGUAGGGCGCGAGCGUUGUCCGGAUUUAUUGGGCGUAAAGAGCUCGUAGGCGGCUUGUCGCGUCGUCCGUGAAAACCUGCGGCUCAACUGCAGGCUGGCGGUCGAUACGGGCAGGCUGGAGUUCGGUAGGGGAGACUGGAAUUCCUGGUGUGGCGGUGAAAUGCGCAGAUAUCGGGAAGAACACCCGUGGCGAAGGCGGUUCUCUGGGACGGUACUGACGCUGAGACGCGAAAGCGUGGGGAGCGAACAGG
rnacentral:rRNA from 1 species